UGGGGAAUCUUGCGCAAUGCGCGAAAGCGUGACGCAGCAACGCCGCGUGGAGGAAGACGGCCUUCGGGUUGUAAACUCCUUUCAGUUGGGACGAAGGUUAUCUGGUGAAUAGCCAGCUUAAUUGACGGUACCUUCAGAAGAAGCCCCGGCUAACUACGUGCCAGCAGCCGCGGUAAUACGUAGGGGGCAAGCGUUGUCCGGAAUCAUUGGGCGUAAAGCGCGUGUAGGCGGCCUUGUAAGUCCGUUCUGAAAGUCCGGGGCUCAACCCCGGGAGGCGGAUGGAUACUGCAAGGCUCGAGUACGGAAGAGGCGAGUGGAAUUCCCGGUGUAGCGGUGAAAUGCGCAGAUAUCGGGAGGAACACCAAUGGCGAAGGCAGCUCGCUGGGACGUUACUGACGCUGAGACGCGAAAGCGUGGGGAGCAAACAG
rnacentral:rRNA from 1 species